GACGAACGCUGGCGGCGUGCUUAACACAUGCAAGUCGAACGGGUGCAGCAAUGCAUCAGUGGCAGACGGGUGAGUAACACGCGGGAACCUUCCUAGGGGUACGGAACAACUCAGGGAAACUUGAGCUAAUACCGUAUACGUCCGUGAGGAGAAAGAUUUAUCGCCCUUAGACGGGCCCGCGUCGGAUUAGCUAGUUGGUGGGGUAACGGCCUACCAAGGCGACGAUCCGUAGCUGAUCUUAGAGGAUGAUCAGCCACACUGGGACUGAGACACGGCCCAGACUCCUACGUGAGGCAGCAGUGGGGAAUAUUGGACAAUGGGCGCAAGCCUGAUCCAGCCAUGCCGCGUGAGUGAUGAAGGCCCUAGGGUUGUAAAGCUCUUUCACCGGUGAAGAUAAUGACGGUAACCGGAGAAGAAGCCCCGGCUAACUUCGUGCCAGCCGCCGCGGUAA
rnacentral:rRNA from 1 species